rnacentral:rRNA from 1 species
AGUGAACGCUGGCGGUAGGCCUAACACAUGCAAGUCGAACGGCAGCACAGUAAGAGCUUGCUCUUACGGGUGGCGAGUGGCGGACGGGUGAGGAAUACAUCGGAAUCUACUUUUUCGUGGGGGAUAACGUAGGGAAACUUACGCUAAUACCGCAUACGACCUACGGGUGAAAGCAGGGGAUCUUCGGACCUUGCGCGAUUGAAUGAGCCGCUGUCGGAUUGGCUGGUUGGCGGGGUAAAGGCCCACCAAGGCGACGAUCCGUAGCUGGUCUGAGAGGAUGGUCAGCGACACUGGAACUGAGCCACGGACCUGACUCCUACGGGAGGCAGCAGUGGGGAAUAGUGGACAAUGGGCGCAAGCCUGAUCCAGCCGUACCGCGUGGGUGAAGAAGGCCUUCGGGUUGUAAAGCCCUUUUGUUGGGAAAGAAAAGCAUCAGGUUAAUACCCCGCUGUUCUGACGGUACCCAAAGAAUAAGCACCGGCUAACUUCGUG